rnacentral:rRNA from 1 species
UACGUAGGGGCCGAGCGUUGUCCGGAGUUAUUGGGCGUAAAGCGCGCGCAGGCGGCCUCGCGCGCCCGACGUGAAAGCCCCCGGCUUAACCGGGGAGGGUCGUUGGGGACGGCGGGGCUUGAGGGCGGGAGAGGGCGGUGGAAUUCCCGGUGUAGCGGUGAAAUGCGUAGAUAUCGGAAGGAACAUCAGUGGCGAAAGCGACUUCCUGGACCAAUACUGACGCUCAUGUGCGAAAGCGUGGGGAGCAAACAGG